rnacentral:lncRNA from 1 species
AAGCAAAUGCUGGGGAGAACUUUGAUUUAGAUUCUACAGAGUGAUUUAAACUAACAAGAGAGUUGUUGAUGUGGGCAGUGAGACAACUGUGAUCUCUGCAUUUUGUCAGCAUCAUCUGUACUUUUUUGUACUUGGUAAAAAACAUUGUGGACAAUAACCAGCAUCAGUCAAAUUAUGUAAUUUUCCUUCUCUUUGGGAAUUUUAAAUUACAAAUUUAUGGACAACUUAUUAAUUUAUUUCUUUAUCUUGGUAUUUACUUCUCAAACUUCACUUUUCAUAGCUGUAAAAGCUCAUGAGUGAUUGUGAUUGGGAACAGUUCUUAUUAAGGAAAAGUGAAAAUUAACUUGUGGGUUAACACAGCAAUAAGAAGAAGAGAAGAUGUUAAGAAUAAUACACUUGUUAUGGUGGAGAGUGAAGAGGAAACACUGAUCUUUGGCUUUAGGGACUGAUCGAGUGAGGUUUUCUGCCCUAGGAUACACCCAGUCAGGAAGCAGUGACUGUGGUCUGUUCCAAUCACGCCUGCAGAUCUGGCCGGGCUAGAAUCCGUUAGUUGAACGACUUAGCCAUUUAGCAGAGACCAGCUGGUUUCUCACAAAAUCCAUUUCCUGUUCUUGAGCAGUCCCAUAAGCUACAUUUUUCUGCCUCCCUUGCAGUAAUGUAUCACCAUAUAGCUGAGUUCUUUUCUCCCACAUGCUGCUGUUCAUCCCCUUUCCCCAUCUGCAAGCUGGAUGUGGAGGACUCUGAGGUCUUAGAAAAUGAUGAAGAAAUAUAUGAAAGGACCGUGGACCCCAGAAUGACCACGUGGAAUGUUUACUGGUGACCAGGAAUACACAUUUUGAACAUAGAUCUAGGUUGGAACUCUUUAACAUCUUGACCCUGCUAGAGUUUU